AUCUUCUCUUGAAGCGGCGAAGCAUGCGUUGGGAACGAAUGUGGGAAAUCGGACGGACGUCGACAUCUGUUAAUGAAAUGGUGUCUUUCUGCGUGUGGCGUAGCAAUGGUGUCUUUCUGUGAAAAAUCUGAAACGGAAACUCCACUUUUUGGCUUCACUUUGUUCUUUUUGCUUGAGAGGUUAAAGGGAAUGUUCCUUCUCACCAGUAAUAUACAUGUCCAGUCCAUUUCAUU
rnacentral:sRNA from 1 species